rnacentral:rRNA from 1 species
UACAGAGGUCCCAAGCGUUGUUCGGAUUCACUGGGCGUAAAGGGUGCGUAGGUGGCGAAGUAAGUCGGAUGUGAAAUCUCCGAGCUCAACUCGGAAAUGGCAUUGGAAACUACUUUGCCCGAGGGUCGGAGGGGGGACUGGAAUUCUCGGUGUAGCAGUGAAAUGCGUAGAUAUCGAGAGGAACACCAGUGGCGAAGGCGAGUCCCUGGACGACUCCUGACACUGAGGCACGAAAGCUAGGGGAGCAAACAGG